rnacentral:lncRNA from 1 species
CUUUUCUGACACACCUGAACCCUUGUUAAUGUGGCUGAAGUGCCAUUUCCACUCAGAAGCCAGGAUCUGGUUUCGCCGUGCUUGGCCUCCCUCCCAGAGUUGAGUCAUGAAUGGAGGUUUGGCAUCCUCCAGGGCUGAAGGUGUCCUUGUUCAGUCUCUCAACUGCUGCUUUCUCAGUGUUCUCAGUUACUGAGUAACUGCCAUUUCCUUGUUGUCAGUACUUCGUACUCCGCGUAAGUCAGGAUUCAAGCUCUUCUCUCUAUUCGCUUCUUUUUAUUCAUCCAUUCAUUCAGUAGCUAUUUAUUACGACCCCACUACGGCCAGGGCGCUGUUGAAGAUGCUGGGGAAUGCAGCAGUGAGCAAGAAUGCAGCUCGUCCUUGAACUGUUUCAUCCAGUUUGGGAAAAUGUUGCUCUAUAGUGAUAUUCACAAGUGUGAGCAGUUGUGAAGCUAGUGGCAUUUAUCCCCUGGAAGAGGGCCACACCAGUGUGAAACCUGUGUCACCCUGUGUGAGGACAGUUUGACGUGAGGAGCUGUGACAUCCCGGUUGCUAACAUGUCUUCUCUCAUUCACCACGCACUUGCUCCUUCCCAAUUCACAAAACUUGUACCUAAAAUUUGGGAAAUAAAAAUAUAUUUUUAAAACUGGUGACUUUUGAAGGGAAAUAUUGCAAGCUCUAUUUUAAUUUCUAAGGCUGUAGAAGUCAGAGGAAAAAGAAAAAUAAAGAAAAAG